GAUGAAGAACGCAGCGAAAUGCGAUAAGUAAUGUGAAUUGCAGAAUUUAGUGAAUCAUCGAAUCUUUGAACGCACAUUGCGCCCUUUGGUAUUCCGAAGGGCAUGCCUGUUCGAGCGUCAUUAUAACCACUCAAGCCUUUGCUUGGUAUUGGGGUUCGCGGUCUCGCGGCCCCUAAAAUCAGUGGCGGUGCCUGUCGGCUCUACGCGUAGUAAUACUCCUCGCGAUUGAGACCGGUGGGUAGCUUGCCAACAACCCGAAUUUUCUCAGGUUGACCUCGGAUCAGGUAGGGAUACCCGCUGAACUUAAGCAUAUCAAUAAGCGGAGGA
rnacentral:misc_RNA from 1 species